rnacentral:lncRNA from 1 species
CUAAAAAUGAGAUAGGAAGAAGUAAUCAUGUUUGCUUCAUCUCCAACCAUAAGAGAAGUAACCCAGCAGGUCGAGGGACACGGCUCCUCUGCCGUGCGCUAGGUGACGUCGGGCCACUGACAUGUGGGCCAGGUUUCCAACAGGCCCACAUGUCAGUGGUAGAACGGCAGGCUGCCAAACGGUAGAGGAGGUGGAGACGUUGAGUACAGUUUUCGAUUUUUGUUCCCGCCAAGGGGUUUGAUUAUUUCGCAACUCAGACAAUUGUACAUAUUACAUGUCUCUCUUAUUGGUUUUGUCCCCUUUUCACACAUUAUGUGCCAGGAGUGCAAAUUACAGAUGAAGACGUGCCACAUGCAUCUCACGAAUCAAAGCAUAUGAGCCUGCCUUCUCAAUCAGCGAUUCUUGCUUCAUGGAUCAUGCCUACCCGAGCAAUUCAGACAGUCUAC